rnacentral:rRNA from 1 species
AGCAGCCGCGGUAAUUCCAGCUCCAAUAGCGUAUAUUAAAGUUGUUGCAGUUAAAAAGCUCGUAGUUGAACUUCAGGCCUGUCCAGAUGGUCCGCCUUAAUUGGUGUGUACUGUCCUUGGGUGGGUCCUACCUUCUGGCGAAGCGGCAUGGCCUUAAUUGGUUGUGUCGGGGAACCAGGACUUUUACUGUGAAAAAUUAGAGUGUUCAAAGCAGGCAUAUAUGCUCGAAUACAUUAGCAUGGAAUAAUGGAAUAGGACGAUGGUUCUAUUUUGUUGGUUCUAGGACCGUUGUAAUGAUUAAUAGGGAUAGUUGGGGGCAUUAGUAUUCAAUUGUCAGAGGUGAAAUUCUUGGAUUUUAUUGAAGACUAACUACUGCGAAAGCAUUUGCCAAGGAUGUUUUCAUUAAUCAAGAACGAAAGUUAGGGGAUCGAAGACGAUCAGAUACCGUCGUAGUCUUAACCAUAAACUAUG